GGGCCAGUAGCUCAGUUGGUACAGCAUAAGUCUGGUAUAGGAAGGUCCUAGGUUUGACUCCUAGCCAGACCA